AAAAAAAUCUUUUUUUGCUUUUCGAAAAUUUUUUUUUCGGUUAAAAUCAACCGAAAGAUCACUAAAAAAUCAAAUUUCUUUCGAUCCCUUGAUUCACAACCUAUUACGAAGACAAACCAGCCAAUUUUCUGAAUGAAGACAUUUGAACUAUUUUGCAUUAAUUAGCAAAGUUUAUCGUCAAGCAAUUAUUUUUUGUGUGAGAAAACUAAAGAUUUCGUUAUAAGAUCAUUUAUGUAAAUAUAGUUUUCUCUUGUCUCACAUGUAUUGACCACGAGAUCACCUAAUAUUUAACCAUUAAAUUUAUGUGAUUGCAAAACCUCUUCAAAGUGUAGCGUGAAGACGAUAAAAAUAUUUAAUUACCCUCCCAUUUGAGAUCACCACGAUCGUUCAAUAUUUGAUCAACGGCGAUCUUCAGCGACAAGUUUUUCUUUUUUGCCUCUUUCGAUUCUUUCCACUUGAAGAUCGCAAAGAUCCAAAAUCGGCAUCGCAACAAGAACGAGUCAUUAACUCCACGCAACGGUGGAGGUGAAAAAAAAAUGGCGAAACAAGAAGAAUGGUUGGAAAGAAAAGGAAAUUGAUAAAGGGAAAUGAGAAGCAUUUUCUUCAAGUUGUUUCGAGUUAUGCUAAUGAUCAGAGUCACUUUUUUUCUUCACCAAUCGUGGUGAUUAUUUAAUGUUUAAAUUUAUGCCAGGCUGAGACCAUAAUUAGCGUCCCUCUUCAAACUCCCUGUGUGAAUCUUUUCUUCUUCUUUUUUUUCUACCUAUAUUAUAUACACCAACCGGCUAAAAGAAGCGUGGCAAAUUUGCAUAAAAUAAAUUUAUUUCCAAAGCACAAAAUAUUAUGUGAAAUGUGAUUCUCUCUUUUUUGAUAAUUCUCUUCUCGUUUUUUUUCUCUAUUCGUGCAAAAUGGAAAUAAGAUCUCAAAAACUCAUUCACACAAAAUUUAAAGUCAAAGCGGUCAAUUUUGUAAUUUUAACUCGCGCUUCCACUCUUGUGCAGCCGUUUUGGUCACAUAGACCAUCAUGAUCUUCCGAAUUGCCAAUCAAAAGCUUUUACAAAGUGAUUUUGGUGUGAAUUUUUACUUAUUUUGAAUUGAAAAUAACGAUUUUUUCCUUUGACUUUGCUUCAAUGAGAAGCAGAGUAAACUCCCCAAGGAUCCCCCAAUCCUCACUCCUUACAGUUUACACCCCAUUUGGCCCUACCGAUUUCCGAUCAAUCUUCUUUUUUACCCUUUUUAUGAGACUCAGAAACGAAUAAAAAAAAUUCCAUUCAAUAAUCACAUUUAGAUCCUGAGAUAUUUAAGUUUUUAACAUAUCCUCCGACUGCAGCGCCGCAGUGGCAAUCUUCCCAAGUACAAAUGUCCUCGUGGAAGCAAAAAUUCUCAUAUUUGCAAAAGGAAAAA